rnacentral:misc_RNA from 1 species
GAUGAAGAACGCAGCGAAAUGCGAUAAGUAAUGUGAAUUGCAGAAUUCAGUGAAUCAUCGAGUCUUUGAACGCACAUUGCGCCCCCUGGUAUUCCGGGGGGCAUGCCUGUCCGAGCGUCAUUGCCGCCCUCAAGCACGGCUUGUGUGUUGGGCCCCCGCCCCCCGGCUUCGGGGGGCGGGCCCGAAAGGCAGCGGCGGCACCGCGUCCGGUCCUCGAGCGUAUGGGGCUUCGUCACCCGCUCUGUAGGCCCGGCCGGCGCCCGCCGGCGACCCCAAUCAAUCUUUCCAGGUUGACCUCGGAUCAGGUAGGGAUACCCGCUGAACUUAAGCAUAUCAAUAAGCGGAAGA